CGGCUCGGUCUGCGCGCUGCUACCGGGAGGGCAGCUGUGUGAGGGGAAAGAACUGCAGAAAGUGAUGGGGCGUUUCCACAGGACUUCUCUUGGGAAUGCAUGAGUGGGCAGUUGACGUCAUCCGCGGAUAUGCAUUUACCCAUCUGCACCUGAGCAAGAAAAAGCAAAAAGCAAUAGCAAAGAGUGAGACUCUUCCCCUUCACCAGAAAGUAACCUGAGACCACAGCAGACAACAGUGAAUUAGACUUCUGUAUCUUUUGUCAAAGUAUUUGUCCAUAAUAUAAGGUAAAGCCACACAAAGAAAAAGGAAAAUGCAUAAAGUGAGAAAUCAAAAGGGUUCAACUAAAAAAUAAAAAAGCAUAGAAAAUAUACUCAUGCAGAUGUAAUUGAAGCAGUCAAAAAUGUUGCUAGCAGAGUCACCCCUGGCCCAUGGGUGAGCUGUGUGACACCAUCCCCCUGCACGGCUCGGGUUCAUGGCAGGAAAUCUCCAGGACAGCAGUGAUCUCCAGUAGCUGCUGAGUAAAAUUCUGAACUUACCGCUCCUGUUUCUGCAACAUCCAUAUAAUUGCCCAUACAUUUGCAAGAUGAACUAGAAUAAAUUCCUUUUUCUCAUGGCUGUGCAACGCCCCAGAAGGUUCUCCAAAUCUUGGAACUGCCCCUCAGUGUACAUGGCAAGGCUCUGGUCAGAACCCAGGGCUGUGUGCAUGGCUUUCAAGUGGCGUGCUGUAUUCAGCUACAACACGCAGUUCUUCUCUGUUUGCCAAGGAGAAAAGCUACCAUAUCUCUGACUGAUCCCAGCAUUUCACAGUAAGAACUUCUGCAGGCCUUGAAAACAGCAAGAAAUGCAUUUCCAACUGACGGAAGUAUCAUGAGAACAAGAGCUGUAUCUCUGGGAUGCUUGUCAGUGAUGGCAAAACAGAGAGACCACCAAUUCAAUUUCAAAACUGAUGCUAACAAUUCAGAACUAGUGGAAAUGUUUUCUCUAUUGUGUACAAAUGUGCACAUCUUGCUGUGACUGGUAACCUGACACAAGGUACUGGAAAGUAAAAAGCUGUCAGAUACCACUUCAAUCACUGUCUCUCCUGGAGCCGUGCAAUAUGCUGUAGAGUUUAUUAAAUUACUUCACUAAUUCUGGGAAAAUAUUUGCCUGUCUGUAUUUUUUUCUGUGAAGAUUUGUAUCUCUGCAAGCAACCAGUGCCUCCUCAAACAAUGAAACAAAGCUCACCCCACAGUCAGAAAUAUACAGAAGUUGGCUCUUUGGUUUGUCUUUGUUUCAGAUGGAGAACUGAGCCUUGAUACUGAAAAAAUACUCUGUUUUCCUGAUUUGGAAUGAAUUCUCUCAUUCUUGACAACUUCACAGGACUGUGCUUGUUUUAAUCUGCUUUAGUGAAAUGGAUCCCUCAGCAGCAGUGGUCUUCAUCGGCUGAAGGAACUUCAUUUCUUCGUAACUGCGACAUCUCAAUCCCUGCUCAGCAAUGCUCAUGUGAUGUACGUGCAGUUCUCUGCACAGUAUUUGACAUGCAGUGCGAGCUGCCCAUCUCUCACAGCCCGCACUGCUCUGCUGGGCUGCGGUGGGGCUGGGGAAUGGAAGAACUCUGCACGACAGUCUGUAGUUGCUAUGGCAAAACAACAUCAUUUAAAUAGCAAGUGAAUGGACAGGGAGCCUCGCUGAAGGCACUGCGCUGUAAUUCAGUGUGCGUGAGUGACAACUGCUGCUUCGAGCAUCUGCUAUGACAUUAACUUACUGCUCAAUAAAAAAGAACUAAUUAACUGUCACGGCUAAUUGCUAAGGGUAAUGUAUGCUUUGCUCAACGCAGGAAGACACACGUUUUUCAGGGGCAGGAAGAAAAUCAUGCCAUAUUGGGUGAGUUGUGAAUACUGACAACAUUCUGUCACUGCAUAUUAUCCAAUGUGCUAUAUUUGCUUCACUUAUGCAAAACCAUCCAAUCAGAUCUAGGUCUAAAAGGGUGUGACUGAGAGGGAACACCCAAGGUUACAGAACAUCAACAGGAUAAACCUCAGUCUUCUUUCUAAGGUAUAAGCAAGUAAAACUUGGAUCUGACUGUAUUCUAAGUGGGGAAAAAAAACCUCACAAAAAUGUGAAUGAGUUUAAGUGAAUAAUGGCAUAAAGGGUAAUGAAGCCUGAAGGACUCACUCUGACAGCAGCUUGUUUACAGGGAAGCAGACAGUGAAACCAAGAAAACCUCACAACGCAAUACUAAUGAAUACGAAGUGUAGGCAAGGCCAGGCAUAUAGAGUGGUGAACAGAAGGCACCAACAAACAGUGACAGUCAACAGGUCUAAGGAACAUAAAAACAACUUCUUUAAGCUGCAACAGAAUAAAAGCUGCUUCUUAAACACAGAGAACAAAAGACAAACUGGAAGUAGUACAAAUCUGGUAUUAAUUUAUAAGCAUAAUAUUUGAUUUAACCAAGAAGAAAAAGCGUUCAA
rnacentral:lncRNA from 1 species